AGUGAACGCUGGCGGCGUGCUUAACACAUGCAAGUCGAACGAGAACGGGUUAUAGCUUGCUAUAAUUGUCAGCUAAGUGGCGCACGGGUGAGUAAUGUAUAGGUAAUAUGCCUCUUACUAAGGGAUAACAAAUGGAAACGUUUGCUAAUACCUUAUACUCCUUAUUAACUAAAGUUGGUAAGGGAAAGAUUUAUUGGUAAGAGAUUGGCCUGUAUUGUAUCAGUUAGUUGGUGGGGUAAAGGCCUACCAAGCCUACGAUCUGUAGCUGGUCUGAGAGGAUGAUCAGCCACACUGGGACUGAGACACGGCCCAGACUCCUACGGGAGGCAGCAGUGGGGAAUCUUGGACAAUGGGCGCAAGCCUGAUCCAGCCAUGCCGCGUGGAUGAUGAAGGCCUUAGGGUUGUAAAAUCCUUUCAACGGGGACGAUAAUGACGGUACCCGUAGAAGAAGCCCCGGCUAACUUCGUG
rnacentral:rRNA from 1 species